rnacentral:rRNA from 1 species
AGUGAACGCUGGCGGCAGGCCUAAUACAUGCAAGUCGAACGGCAGCACAGCAGAGCUUGCUCUGUGGGUGGCGAGUGGCGGACGGGUGAGGAAUACAUGGGAAUCUGCCCAGUCGUGGGGGAUAACGUAUGGAAACGUACGCUAAUACCGCAUGCGCCCUAAGGGGGAAAGCCGGGGACCGCAAGGCCUGGCGCGAUUGGAUGAGCCCAUGUUCGAUUAGCUAGUUGGCGGGGUAAAGGCCCACCAAGGCGACGAUCGAUAGCUGGUCUGAGAGGAUGAUCAGCCACACUGGAACUGAGACACGGUCCAGACUCCUACGGGAGGCAGCAGUAGGGAAUAUUGGACAAUGGGGGCAACCCUGAUCCAGCCAUGCCGCGUGAGUGAAGAAGGCCCUCGGGUUGUAAAGCUCUUUUGUCCGGAAAGAAAAGCAAUCGGUUAAUACCCGGUUGUCCUGACGGUACCGGAAGAAUAAGCACCGGCUAA